rnacentral:rRNA from 1 species
AUAGCGUAUACUAAAGUUGUUGCGGUUAAAAAGCUCGUAGUUGGAUGUCAGUUGCGGGCGGGCGGUCCACCGUUUUGGUGGUUUACUGCUCGUCCCGUGACCUACCAACCGGCCUCCCCCGCUAUGCUCUUUACCGAGUGUGGCGGGUGGCCGGAACUUUUACUUUGAAAAAAUUAGAGUGCUCUAAGCAGGUGCAUGCCGCCUGAAUAACACAGCAUGGAAUAAUGGAAUAGGACCUCGGUUCUAUUUUGUUGGUUUUCGGAAUUCUGAGGUAAUGAUUAAUAGGGACGGACGGGGGCAUUCGUAUUGCGGCGCUAGAGGUGAAAUUCUUGGACCGUCGCAAGACGAACUAGUG